rnacentral:rRNA from 1 species
AUACGGAGGGUGCAAGCGUUACUCGGAAUCACUGGGCGUAAAGCGCGCGCAGGCGGCUUGAUAAGUUGGAUGUGAAAGCCUACGGCUCAACCGUAGAACUGCAUCCAAAACUGUCAAGCUAGAGUGUGGGAGAGGAAGAUGGAAUUAGUUGUGUAGGGGUAAAAUCCGUAGAGAUUACUAGGAAUACCAAAAGCGAAGGCGAUCUUCUGGAACAGUACUGACACUGAGAUGCGAAAGCGUGGGGAGCAAACAGGAUUAGAUACCCUUGUAGUCC